rnacentral:rRNA from 1 species
UACGUAGGGUGCGAGCGUUAAUCGGAAUUACUGGGCGUAAAGCGUGCGCAGGCGGUCCGUUGUGUCUGCGGUGAAAUCCCCGGGCUUAACCUGGGAAUGGCCGUGGAAACUGGCGGGCUUGAGUGUGGCAGAGGGAGGUGGAAUUCCGCGUGUAGCAGUGAAAUGCGUAGAUAUCGUAAGGAAGACCAGUGGCGAAGGCGGGUCUCUGGACAGUUCCUGACGCUGAGGCACAAAGGCCAGGGGAGCAAACGGG